rnacentral:rRNA from 1 species
UACGUAGGGACCGAGCGUUGUCCGGAUUCAUUGGGCGUAAAGAGCUCGUAGGCGGCUGUUCAAGUCGAAUCGUGAAAACUCGGAGCUCAACUCCGAGCCUGCGUUCGAUACUGGAUGGCUAGAGUCUGGUAGGGGGAUCUGGAAUUCCUGGUGUAGCGGUGGAAUGCGCAGAUAUCAGGAGGAACACCGGCGGCGAAGGCGGGAUCCUGGGCCAGUACUGACGCUGAGGAGCGAAAGCGUGGGGAGCAACAGG